AUGAGCCAUCUCAAAAGCUGAAGACCCAGGAGUGGAAUGCAUCCUCUGGACCCCAAGAGUCCUGCACACAGCAACUCCUCAAUCCAGGACAAAGUGGUGACAUGACAGGAACAGCAGUAGCAGAGGCAGCAGAACCAAGAGCCAGUGCCCGGGACAGAGCAGCAGCAAGACUCCCGGACCACCAAGAAAGGCAUCUGAAGAUACCAAAUAGAUGUAGCACAUCCCUGCCCUCCAGAAGCUCACAGGUGGAGCCAACUGAAGCAAGAAGACCCAAAGCUCUUUGACUUGGAAGGACUUGAUUUCUGAAUGACCUGAAAAUAUCCAGUAACAUGUGAAUGAGAACUCCUUCCUGCAUUUUCCCCUUUGCUCCCUGAGGAACACAAUUUUAAAAUGGCUGGGCUGGCGCCUGGUCCUCCAAGGUAUGGCCACAGAAUAGGGAGCUCUGUGUCACUCUGACCUGCCUCCAGAUCAAGCAGCCAUCUAUUGCUGCCCAGACCAGAAGGAGAGUCUUAGCUUCCCUGGUUAGUUCCUGAUAUGCAGUAGGCAAUGGCUAGCUGAUGGACAGAAUGAAUGAGUGAACAAAUGAAUGACUAAAGAUACUUGGAAUACAUCUUUCUAAAGAAACAAUAUAGGUGGUGGUUACCAGGCAAAGGAAGCCCCAACUACUCAUGGUGAUGGUUAGGUUUUAUAUCAAUUUGAACCUGUGUGAAAAUAGGGGACGAAUCCAGUCUAUUAAGCAGAUCACAAUCUGAUGAUGCCUCUUUGGAGGUGUGGCCUUUUUAUAAAGGGACACUUUUCUCUUACCCUUCACCCUUCCUGUUUGCUAGGAUUCUGUGUCUGCCUGCAAGGGCAGCCCCAUAUGGGCCUUUGGUGCCUUACCCUGUUCCCACAGAACCUGAGAUCCUUGUAAGUCUGUACCCACUGGUCUGUGAUCUCCCUACUUUCUGUUUCACCUUUCUGGGAUGCAGCUAUGUGCAUCUACAGAGGGCUCCAGCUAGCCUAAGUCCCAUCAUGGACUUUGGUUGGACUGGGUUGGGAUGCCUUCUUGAAAUAAAAUUAAUUCUUUAUAUAUAAAAUUCCUUCUUAUACAUAUGAGAGUGUCACUGGUUUUGCUUCUCAAGACAACCUAGCCUACCACCAUUUGGUGCAAAGAGGGGGUUCUCCAGAAGCAAACCAAGGAUGGAGAGUGGAGAGGUACGUUUGAUUUCUGACGUCUAGCAAUCUGGGGGAGCUGGGUUUUCCUUCUCCUUUGGAUGGCCAGAAGAGGUCAGAUAUGGCCACGUAGUUUAUUCAGCUGCUAUCUGGAAAGGGCAUGGGAAGUGAAACUUUUGAUUCUUAGAAGCUGACUUUGGUUAUUCCCACCUGAAAUGACUGAAAGGAAUGUAAUGGAUGCUAAAUUGCACCUCAGGGAAGAAAAGCACUUUUUCCCCCAAGGCAAAAUCCAUGCUGCUUAAAUAAAAUGACUGAAAGAAGGCCAAGCUAGCUGGAUACACUCAGCCAGCAGCAGCCUAGGGCCAUAUGCACAUGAAUAAGAUAGUCUAAAAGAACAUGGAACUCUAGCUGUUGUUCUUUUUAUUAUUAUUAUUAUUGUGUUUAGGAUCUGGGUGUACUAUGAUUUUAUUGAUUUCACCUACCUAAUCUUAUUGCCAUCAAGUGUGACAGAAAUGGAUAUUGGAAAUUAUGAUUAGAGAGCGCUUUUAAGCCCGCCCACCAUUAGCCUUUAUGAUUAGAUUUGCUAAAGGGGACAUUUGGAAUUUCCUGGAAGAAAUUACUCAAAUACCUUCAUUUAUAUUUUGACCACCUAUCUAAGCAAGUCAUUGGCCAAGGAAAAAUUGAUUAGCAAGAUCAUAAAUACAUUUUCCCAAUAGCAUCCUUUUAAAUCCUUGUAGCUCAGUGAGGUCAGUCUAACUUUAAAGACUAAUGAAGUCUCAAAGAUACAAUGUAAUCACAGGGCAAAAAUUCUCUCAAAGCACAAGCUUCUAGAAGGAAAGAGCCAUGCUGCUUUGGAUGCCGAUUGUCACUGCCAAACCCAGGGCACAUCCCGGGAGAGAUGCUUCACACAUUUUUUCAGCAUGGAGUCUGAAUUCAGACUGCCCAGAUUCAUGUUCCAGCCCUGCAACAUACCUGUUAUAUGAUAUUGGCCAAGCUAUUUAACCUCUCUGUGUCUCUGUUUCCUCAUCUAAAAAUGAGAAUAAGCAUUUUCAGAGGGAUACAUUAAUAUCUGUAAAACAAUUCAAGUGCUGUUGCUAAUUGCCACUGAGUUAGCGACAACUUAUUCAGACCCCAUAUGCCACAGAAUAACGCAUCUUUCAGGUCUGUGCCAUUUCACAAUUGUUGGCGUGCUCAGUCCCAUUUCAAGAACCAUGGUCUUUAUUUUUAUUUCCUUCCAAUCUAAGGAGCUCAUCUUCCAACACUAUAUCAAACAAUUUUUCAUUGGCUGACUUUUGAAGGAGUGCACCAGGCCAUUUUUGCUCAUCUGUUUCAGUCUGGAAGUCCCCCCUGAAACUUGUUAUAAUGGGUGAUCAUGCUGAUAUUUAAAUAUCACCUUCCAGCAUCACAGCAACAUGAAAACCACACAGUAUGACAUCUUGACAGAAAGACGAUGUAGAUGUGACAUAGGUGUUUAAUAAACAGAAUAAACAGAUCCAGUGAUGGAUCACAAAUUAUACAUUA